AUGCAUGGCCGUUCUUAGUUGGCGGAGCGAUUUGUCUGGUUAAUUCCGUUAACAAACGGAGACCUCAGCCUGCUAACUAGCUAUACAGAGCCAUCCCUCCGCAGCUAGCUUCUUAGAGGGACUAUCGCCGUUUAGGCGACGGAAGUUUGAGGCAAUAAGGGUAAUGUCAUGU
rnacentral:ncRNA from 2 species